rnacentral:lncRNA from 1 species
GCUCUGAUACCACUGUUGGGUUUUGAGCAUUCUAACACUCCUAAGUGUACAUGCAACCCUAAAUACCUUGGAUCUAUGUUUUCUCUAUUAUACAUGCAAAUAUGAACUUUCCAAGGUAUUCAUCCUAACUAGCAUAAUAACAUUGAUUAAUAUGAAUAUCUCAAGUUAGAAUUACAUACCUCUUUGAUGUAGAAUGUCUUCAUGAAGCUUGAGUACCUAGUGCCCCAAGUGUGACACCUCAAAUGGUUCACACAUCACCAAAUACACAUGGAAUGACUUGAGAGAAAUUGGAACACUUCAUAAAAUCGGCUAGCCCUUUCUAUCAUCCAUAGUAGCCGAUUUUCUCCAAGAAUAAGAUCUUUAUAUAGUGUCACAAUUAGGGUAAACCCUAAUUGUCAUGGCUUUCCAUUUCCUUGGAUCCAUGGGUUCAAAUACACCAUGGAACAUCCAUGGAGCAUCCUAUGGGUUUUAGCCCAACUUGAUAAUCCAUGGAGCAUUAGCCCACUAAACAAGUAUGGAUGAUUUACACAAUCAACCCAUAUAUUUAAUUAGUCUUCUUUUCAUCACUUAAUUAAUUCUAGAUUAAUUCUUGAUCAAUACUAAUUAAAUAAUCUUAUUAAUAUAUUAGAACUUAUAAUAUAUUAAUAAACCUUAAGUGUUAUUUAUCUCAUUUUAGUCUAUCCAAAUGCAUGAUGCCAUGCAACCCAAAUGGACCAUGCCGGGUCGGGUCAAGUCUUAACAAUUAUAGUUAUGGACUUAGACAUUAAUCCAACAUUAACAUCUCUACUAAAGGUGAUAGACAAGGGCGUUCGAGAGAAUGUUCCUAUAAAGACUUCACAAAUGGCAAACCCGAUUCUUUCAAUGGAAGCGGGGGCGUCAUCGCUUUGAUGUAGUGGUUCGAGAAGACUGGAUCCAUCUUCGAGAUCUGUGCAUUCCCCAAAACAGACAAAGUCAAAUUCGCAGCUUGCACUUUCUCCGGCAGGUCCCUCACUUGGUGGAACGGCCACGUAAAAUCGUUGACACUCUCCGUGGCUAACUCGCUAAGUUGGGAAGGCUUGAAAACUAUGAUGCUAAAGGAGUAUUUCCCAAGGGGUGAGGUGUAAAAAUUAGAACAGGAACUGUGGAGUCUCAAGAUGACAGGCUCUAACAUUGCAGCUUACACCGCCCGAUUUAAUGAUCUAGCGCUCCUCUGUCCGGCGAUGGUUACACCGGAAAGCAAGAAAGUGGAACGAUAUCUCUGGGGACUAUCAUCCUAGAUUCAAGAUAGUGUGUUGGCCUCGAGGCCAACCACUUUCGACAGUGCCAAGGAGUUGGCACAACAACUCAUUAAUCAUCGGGCCAGCCAUGUCACGGUGCCAACCACCUCCGAUCAAGCAAAGGGAGGGAACAAUAAGAGGAAGUUCUGGAACAAUAAAAGAAGCAAACGGCGCAGGAUCCCGCAAAGAAAUAGCAAACUGUUGCCAUCCAUGCUGCCACUACUCCUUCCACUCCAGCUCCACAAAGGCAAUACGUUGGAACUCUUCCCAAGUGCAACAAGUGAAACUUCCACCACACGGGUGCUUGUCGGGAAAUGCAUUGUAGUAAUUGCAACAAGAAGGGGCACAAUGCUCGAUUCUGUAAAGUGUCAGCCUAAUCCGUCACUCAAGCCGCCCCGGACGCCAACACCGGAGGAAACCGAACCUGUUACGGCUGUGGAGAGGCAAGGCGCUUCAAAAAAACUGCCCAAAAGCAUGAAACGCCAACGUUGGGGGUGCAGGAAGAGUCCUAGCCAUAGGGCACGGAGAAGCAGUCCAGGACCCCACGGUGGUUACAUGUACGUUUCUCCUCAAUAACUCUUAUGCAUGCGUACUUUUCGAUAGGGGGGCAGAAAGGAGUUUUGAGCCACCAAUUCAAACAUUUACUUAAACAGAAUCUCAAGUCAUUAAAAGAUUCAUACGUCAUAGAAAUGGAAAACGGAAAGGUUGAGCGCACUAAUGAUAUUUACAUAGGGUGUACCCUCACUCUAGACAACCAUUCGUUCAAAAUCGAUAUAAUGUCGGUCACAAUAAAAAGUUUUGACAUCAUCAAUGGUAUGGAUUGGUUAAGUUCUAAUCGUGUCGAUUAUGUUACGAAAGGGCCAUCUUCCUUAAUCUGCCAAAUGGCGAAACCCUUCUCGUCUACGGCGAUAAACCUAGUACAAAUCUGCAAAUCAUUUCUUGCGUCAAGGAUCAAAAGUACCUACGAAAGGAAUACCACGCCUUCUUAGCCCACGUCGUAGAUAAGAAACAAGGGGUGAAGGAUAUCAAAGACAUUCCAGAAGUGUGCAACUUCCCCGACGUAUUCCCAGAAGAUCUGCCAGGUGUACCACUCGCACGACAAGUCGAAUUCCGAAUUGACUUGGUUCCCGUAGCUACCCCAAUAGCCAAAGCUCCAUAUCGCCUAGCACCGGCAGAAAUGCAAGAGCUGUCUAGUCAAUUGAAUGAACUACUAAGCAAUGGGUUCAUCAAACCGAGCUUUUGACCCUAGGGAGCACCACUCCUAUUUGUGAAGAAAAAGGAUGGAUCCUUUCGCAUGUGCAUCGACUAUCGGGAGUUAAACAAACUUACCAUCAAGAAUCGAUAUCCCCUACCCCAAAUCGACGACCUCUUCGACCAACUGCAAGGAGCGAGUUACUUUUCAAAAAUCGACUUGAGGUCGGGUUACCAUCAACUGCGAGUUCAAGAGGAUGAUAUUCCCAAGACAGCUUUUAAAACGCGCUACGACCAUUAUGAAUUUGUGGUGAUGCCCUUUGGUCUAACAAACGUGCCUGCGGUAUUCAUGGAUCUGAUGAACCGAGUGUGUCGACCCUUCUUAGACAAAUUCGUAAUCGUAUUCAUCGACGAUAUCUUGGUCUAUUCGUGAGGAAAAGAAGAGCACAGCCAACAUCUGCGACUAGUAUUGGAGACUCUAAGAACUAAGAAGCUUUAUGCUAAACUUUCAAAGUGCGAAUUUUGGCUCCGAGAGGUGGGAUUCCUUGGCCACAUGGUUAGCGAGAAAGGGAGACAUGUGGAUCCCUCAAAAAUCAAAGCGAUCGAAAACUGGCCAGCACCUACAACGCCGACAGAAAUCCGACAAUUUUUAGGGCUAGCUGGAUACUACCGAAGGUUCAUCCAAAACUUCUCCAAGAUCACUAAACCACUCGCCACCUUGACUCAAAAAGGUGUGAUGUUUAAGUGGGGAGAUAAACAAGAAGCCGCAUUCCAAACGUUAAAAUAGGCCAUGUGCAGCGCACCGGUCUUGUCUCUCCCAAAAGAAACCGAGGAUUUCAUGGUAUAUUGUGAUGCUUCGAAUCAAGGUCUCGAAUGUGUACUCAUGCAGAGAGGGAAGGUCAUCGCUUAUACGUCAAGACUGUUGGGUUUUGAGCAUUCUAACACUUCCUAAGUGUACAUGCAACCCUAAAUACCUUGGAUCUAUGUUUUCUCUAUUAUACAUGCAAAUAAGAACUUCCAAGGUAUUAUCCUAAUCUAGCAUACAAAAACUAUGAAUGUAACAAGAUAGAAUACAUACCUCUUGAUGUAGCUUGAUGUCUUCAAGCUUUAAGAGCUUAGCCCCAAUAGUGUGGAAGCCUCAAGUGGAAUCACAAAUCACCAAGACACCUUGGAAUACUUUAGAGAAUAUGAUUACUUGGUUCUCUCUAGUGAAAUUGGCUAGCCCUUCUUUAGUGUAUCCACACUAGUGCCAAUUUCACCAACCAAAGACAUCUUUAU